GGUUAAGCGACUAAGCGUACACGGUGGAUGCCCUGGCAGUCAGAGGCGAUGAAGGACGUGCUAAUCUGCGAUAAGCGUCGGUAAGGUGAUAUGAACCGUUAUAACCGGCGAUUUCCGAAUGGGGAAACCCAGUGUGAUUCGUCACACUAUCAUUAACUGAAUCCAUAGGUUAAUGAGGCGAACCGGGGGAACUGAAACAUCUAAGUACCCCGAGGAAAAGAAAUCAACCGAGAUUCCCCCAGUAGCGGCGAGCGAACGGGGAGCAGCCCAGAGCCUGAAUCAGUGUGUGUGUUAGUGGAAGCGUCUGGAAAGGCGCGCGAUACAGGGUGACAGCCCCGUACACAAAAAUGCACAUGCUGUGAGCUCGAUGAGUAGGGCGGGACACGUGGUAUCCUGUCUGAAUAUGGGGGGACCAUCCUCCAAGGCUAAAUACUCCUGACUGACCGAUAGUGAACCAGUACCGUGAGGGAAAGGCGAAAAGAACCCCGGCGAGGGGAGUGAAAAAGAACCUGAAACCGUGUACGUACAAGCAGUGGGAGCACGCUUAGGCGUGUGACUGCGUACCUUUUGUAUAAUGGGUCAGCGACUUAUAUUCUGUAGCAAGGUUAACCGAAUAGGGGAGCCGAAGGGAAACCGAGUCUUAACUGGGCGUUAAGUUGCAGGGUAUAGACCCGAAACCCGGUGAUCUAGCCAUGGGCAGGUUGAAGGUUGGGUAACACUAACUGGAGGACCGAACCGACUAAUGUUGAAAAAUUAGCGGAUGACUUGUGGCUGGGGGUGAAAGGCCAAUCAAACCGGGAGAUAGCUGGUUCUCCCCGAAAGCUAUUUAGGUAGCGCCUCGUGAAUUCAUCUCCGGGGGUAGAGCACUGUUUCGGCAAGGGGGUCAUCCCGACUUACCAACCCGAUGCAAACUGCGAAUACCGGAGAAUGUUAUCACGGGAGACACACGGCGGGUGCUAACGUCCGUCGUGAAGAGGGAAACAACCCAGACCGCCAGCUAAGGUCCCAAAGUCAUGGUUAAGUGGGAAACGAUGUGGGAAGGCCCAGACAGCCAGGAUGUUGGCUUAGAAGCAGCCAUCAUUUAAAGAAAGCGUAAUAGCUCACUGGUCGAGUCGGCCUGCGCGGAAGAUGUAACGGGGCUAAACCAUGCACCGAAGCUGCGGCAGCGACACUAUGUGUUGUUGGGUAGGGGAGCGUUCUGUAAGCCUGUGAAGGUGUACUGUGAGGUAUGCUGGAGGUAUCAGAAGUGCGAAUGCUGACAUAAGUAACGAUAAAGCGGGUGAAAAGCCCGCUCGCCGGAAGACCAAGGGUUCCUGUCCAACGUUAAUCGGGGCAGGGUGAGUCGACCCCUAAGGCGAGGCCGAAAGGCGUAGUCGAUGGGAAACAGGUUAAUAUUCCUGUACUUGGUGUUACUGCGAAGGGGGGACGGAGAAGGCUAUGUUGGCCGGGCGACGGUUGUCCCGGUUUAAGCGUGUAGGCUGGUUUUCCAGGCAAAUCCGGAAAAUCAAGGCUGAGGCGUGAUGACGAGGCACUACGGUGCUGAAGCAACAAAUGCCCUGCUUCCAGGAAAAGCCUCUAAGCAUCAGGUAACAUCAAAUCGUACCCCAAACCGACACAGGUGGUCAGGUAGAGAAUACCAAGGCGCUUGAGAGAACUCGGGUGAAGGAACUAGGCAAAAUGGUGCCGUAACUUCGGGAGAAGGCACGCUGAUAUGUAGGUGAAG
rnacentral:rRNA from 1 species